rnacentral:rRNA from 1 species
ACGCUCGACACCUACGGGAGGUAGCAGUGGGGAAUAUUGCACAAUGGGGGAAACCCUGAUGCAGCAACGCCGCGUGAAGGAAGACGGUUUUCGGAUUGUAAACUUCUGUUCUUAGUGAAGAUAGUGACGGUAGCUAAGGAGCAAGCCACGGCUAACUACGUGCCAGCAGCCGCGGUAAUCUGAGGCGGGCGUGGCAAGGC